GAUGAACGCUGACAGAAUGCUUAACACAUGCAAGUCAUUGGCGAAGCUGCGCUUGCGCAGUCUAGCCAAGGCGGACGGGUGAGUAACGCGUAAGGAACUUGCCCUGCAGACAGGGAUAACAGACGGAAACGACUGAUAACACCUGGUAUUGUCAGGCUGGCGCAUGCCGGCCUGAUGAAAGGAGACACUGCAGGAGAGCCUUGCGUCCUAUUAGCUAGUUGGUGGGGUAACGGCCCACCAAGGCGAUGAUAGGUAGCCGGCCUGAGAGGGUGAACGGCCACAAGGGGACUGAGAUACGGCCCUUACUCCUACGGGAGGCGGCAGUGGGGAACAUUGGACAAUGGGGGCAACCCUGAUCCAGCAAUUCUGUGUGCACGAAGAAGGUUUUCGGAUUGUAAAGUGCUUUCAGCAGGGAAGAAGAAAGUGACGGUACCUGCAGAAGAAGCGACGGCUAAAUACGUG
rnacentral:rRNA from 1 species